GGAAUAUUGGACAAUGGGCGAAAGCCUGAUCCAGCCAUGCCGCGUGUGUGAAGAAGGCCCUCGGGUCGUAAAGCACUUUAAGCUGGGAGGAAGGGUUGUAACCUAAUACGUUGCAGCUUUGACGUUACCAGCAGAAUAAGCACCGGCUAACUCUGUGCCAGCAGCCGCGGUAAUACAGAGGGUGCAAGCGUUAAUCGGAAUUACUGGGCGUAAAGCGCGCGUAGGUGGCUUGGUAAGUUGAAUGUGAAAUCCCCGGGCUCAACCUGGGAACUGCAUCCAAAACUGCCUGGCUAGAGUACGGUAGAGGGUGGUGGAAUUUCCUGUGUAGCGGUGAAAUGCGUAGAUAUAGGAAGGAACACCAGUGGCGAAGGCGACCACCUGGACUGAUACUGACACUGAGGUGCGAAAGCGUGGGGAGCAAACA
rnacentral:rRNA from 1 species